UACGACUUUUGCUUCUUAUGUUCGCUACUUUCUCCCUCUGUUAUGUUUCAUGAAACCCUAAUAAAUGCCGUCCACAUGAAUACCCCAAAAUAUUGAAGACAACACAAUCUUUCAACGAAUACCUUUCUAAUAUCCGAUUCCACAAUUGAUCGCAGACUGAAACCCUAAAUGUCGUCCACAUGAAUACCCCAAAAUAUUGAAGGCAACACAAUCUUCCAAGGAGUACCUUUCUAAUAUCUGAUCCCACAAUUGAUCGCAGCAUUCCAGGUUUUGAUAGCUCCAAACGAUUCAAGGUUGCUCGAAUGAGAUUGACUAUUUAAUUCCUUUUAUGUUCCCAUGGCUUACAUCUGGCAUUUAUGUGAAUUAAAUUCACAAGCCUAUUCACAGAAUCACAUUCAACAUGGAUGACAUGAUCGCUGAGUUUUCGGGUCGGCGGAGACGGUCCAAGUGUCAGAACAACGGGCUUUUCGAGCAAUAUGUUUGGCGAUAAUGUGGGUAGAUUUGAUAAUAUCUUCAGCUCUUUUGGUGGUGGCAGUGGUAGAUCGUAUGGCAGCGGUGGUGGAGUUAGGUCGGGUACUCGAAAGCUGCCCGAUCUCGAGAGAAAUCUACCAUACCAUGAUAAAGCACCAUUUAACCACUCUGUUGUUGUCCGAAUAUUUUUUGGUUGUUUGCACAUAAAGGCAGCCAUAAUCAAAGAAGUUAACCCACUUAUUCUUGUAUUAGUGUUGUGUGUGUUAUGCUUUUUUUGCUACACUGUUUUCUUAAUUUUAGAUAUUUGAAAUAUGUCUCUUGGUUGAUAUUGGAAAGUAUCCUUAUUUAAUGGGUCAAGUUGCUUGAUCAUAAUUGCUUACA